rnacentral:rRNA from 1 species
GUUAAGUGAAUAAGGGCGCACGGUGGAUGCCUUGGCACUAGGAGCCGAUGAAGGACGGGACGAACACCGAUAUGCUUUGGGGAGCUGUAAGUAAGCGUUGAUCCAAAGAUUUCCGAAUGGGGGAACCCAUCACUUUUCAUCAAGUGAUAUAUCUAUAGUGAAUACAUAGCUAUAGAUAAGGUAGACGUGGGGAACUGAAACAUCUCAGUACCUGCAGGAAGAGAAAGCAAAAUGCGAUUCCCCGAGUAGCGGCGAGCGAAACGGGAAGAGGCCAAACCAAAAGGCUUGCCUUUUGGGGUUGUAGGACCGGCGAUAUGGACGAGUAAGACUAGCAGAAAUAACUGGAAAGUUAUGCGAGACAGGGUGAAAGCCCCGUAUGCGACAGUCGACCUUACCUAGCUGGUAUCCUGAGUACGGCGGAACACGAGAAAUUCCGUCGGAAUCCGGGAGGACCAUCUCCCAAGCCUAAAUACUUCCUAGUGACCGAUAGUGAACCAGUACCGUGAGGGAAAGGUGAAAAGAACCCCGGAAGGGGAGUGAAACAGCACCUGAAACCGUGUGCUUACAAGUAGUCAGAGCCCGUUAAUGGGUGAUGGCGUACCUUUUGUAGAAUGGACCGGCGAGUGACGAUGUCAUGCAAGGUUAAACCGAAGAGGUGGAGCCGCAGCGAAAGCGAGUCUGAAUAGGGCGUAGAGUAUGCCGUCGUCGACCCGAAACCAAGUGACCUACCCAUGUCCAGGGUGAAGGUGUGGUGAAACGCACUGGAGGCCCGAACCCAAGUAUGUUGAAAAAUGCUGGGAUGAGGUGUGGGUAGCGGAGAAAUUCCAAUCGAACUUGGAGAUAGCUGGUUCUCUCCGAAAUAGCUUUAGGGCUAGCCUCGGAUAAUAUGCAUCGUGGAGGUAGAGCGACUGUUUGGACUAGGGGCCCUUAUCGGGUUACCGAAUCCUGAUAAACUCCGAAUGCCACAGAUGUAGAUCCGGGAGUCACACUGCGAGUGAUAAGAUCCGUAGUGGAAAGGGAAACAGCCCAGACCGUCGGCUAAGGUCCCCAAAUUCUUGUUAAGUGGAAAAGGAUGUGGGGCUGCUUAGACAACUAGGAUGUUGGCUUAGAAGCAGCCAUCAUUU